rnacentral:rRNA from 1 species
GAUGAACGCUAGCGGCAGGCCUAAUACAUGCAAGUCGAACGGAAACCAGAUCAGAGCUUGCUUUGGUCUGUUGCGAGUGGCGCACGGGUGCGUAACGCGUAAGCAACCUACCCUUGUCAGGGGGAUAGCGCGGCGAAAGGCGGAUUAAUACCGCAUUACAUCAUUGAGAGGCAUCUUUCGAUGAUCCAGUAUUUAUCGGACAAGUAUCGGGUCGCGUGACAUUAUCUCUAUGGUAAGGUAACGGCUUACCAAGGCUGCGCUGUCUAGGGGCUCUGAGAGGGGACUCCCCCAGACUGGUAAUGAGACCCGGACCAGAAUCGUACGCGGGGCAGCAGUAAGGAAUAUUAGGGAAUGGACGGAAGUCGGAACAAGCCAUGCCGGGUGCAGGAGGCCGGGGAUAUGGGUUGUAAACUACUUUUAUACAGGAACAAACGUCGGUACGUGGACCGGUCUGAGGGUACCGUAAGAGUAAGGAACGGCUAACUACGUG